GAACGGGUGAGUAAUACAUAAAUAAUCUACCAUAAUGACUGGGAUAACCAAUGGAAACGCUGGCUAAUACCGGAUAGGUAAAACGAGGGCAUCUUUGUUUUAUUAAAGUAGGGCUACUACACAAUAUGAUGAGUUUAUGGCGCAUUAGCUAGUUGGUGAGGUAACGGCUCACCAAGGCGAUGAUGCGUAGCCGACCUGAGAGGGUGACCGGCCACACUGGGACUGAGACACGGCCCAGACUCCUACGGGAGGCAGCAGUAGGGAAUUUUCGGCAAUGGGCGCAAGCCUGACCGAGCAACGCCGCGUGAGUGAAGAAGGCCUUCGGGUUGUAAAGCUCUGUUGUAAGGGAAGAACACUUUUUAGAGGAAAUGCUAGAGAGCUGACGGUACCUUACCAGAAAGCCACGGCUAACUACGUGCCAGCAGCCGCGGUAAUACGUAGGUGGCGAGCGUUAUCCGGAAUUAUUGGGCGUAAAGGGUGCGUAGGCGGUUUAUUAAGUCUGUGGUGAAAGUGCGGGGCUCAGCCCCGUAUGGCCACAGGAACUGAUAGACUAGAGUACAGGAGAGGGUAGUGGAAUUCCAUGUGUAGCGGUAAAAUGCGUAGAUAUAUGGAGGAACACCGGUGGCGAAGGCGGCUGCCUGGCCUGUAACUGACGCUGAGGCACGAAAGCGUGGGGAGCAAAUAGGAUCAGAUACCCUAGUAGUCCACGCUGUAAACGAUGAUUACUAAGUGUUGGAGAAAUUCAGUGCUGCAGUUAACGCAAUAAGUAAUCCGCCUGGGGAGUAUGCACGCAAGUGUGAAACUCAAAGGAAUUGACGGGACCCCGCACAAGCGGUGGAGUAUGUGGUUUAAUUCGAAGCAACGCGAAGAACCUUACCAGGUCUUGACAUGGUGUUUAAGGUCCUAGAGAUAGGGAGAUAAUAAGCACACACAGGUGGUGCAUGGUUGUCGUCAGCUCGUGUCGUGAGAUGUUGGGUUAAGUCCCGCAACGAACGCAACCCUUGUCUUUAGUUACCAUCAUUAAGUUGGGGACUCUAGAGAGACUGCCGGUGAUAAACCGGAGGAAGGCGGGGAUGACGUCAAAUCAUCAUGCCCCUUAUGACCUGGGCUACGCACGUACUACAGUGGCGCAUACAACGAGCUGCAAGAUGGUGACAUCAAGCGAAUCUCUUAAAAUGCGUCUCAGUUCGGAUUGGANNNUGCAACUCGACUCCAUGAAGUCGGAAUCGCUAGUAAUCGCGGAUCAGCAUGCCGCGGUGAAUACGUUCUCGGGGUUUGUCACACCGCCCGUCAAACCACGAAAGUUGAUAAUACCCGAAGC
rnacentral:rRNA from 1 species